UCAGCAAUCUAACACAGGAACAGAAAACCAAACACCUAAUGUUCUCACUCAUAAAUGGGAUUUGAACAAUGGGAACACAUGGACACAGGGAGGAGAACAUCAUACACCAGGGCCUGUCGGGGGGGUAGAGGGAAAGCUAAGCAUUUUGUUUUUCUUAAUUUAUUUUAAUUAAAUAAUUUAUUUUUUAAGAGAUAUGUCUCAGCUGGGCAUGGUGGCUCACGCCUGUAAUCCCAGCACUUUGGGAAGCCGAGGUGGGCAGAUCAUGAGGUCAGGAGUCCGAGACUAGACUGGUCAGAUACAUAUGCUGAAUGUGCAAGUUUGUUACA
rnacentral:lncRNA from 1 species